rnacentral:rRNA from 1 species
GAACGCCUGUAGCAAUACAGGAGUGGCGGACGGGUGAGUAACACGUGGGAAUCUACCCAGUAGCCUGGAAUAACCGCGGGAAACUGCGGCUAAUACCGGAUACGCCCCGAGGGGGAAAGGAGCAAUCCACUAUUGGAGGAGCCCGCGCCCGAUUAGCUAGUUGGUGAGGUAAUGGCUCACCAAGGCGAUGAUCGGUAGCUGGUCUGAGAGGACGACCAGCCACACUGGGACUGAGACACGGCCCAGACUCCUACGGGAGGCAGCAGUGGGGAAUAUUGGACAAUGGGGGAAACCCUGAUCCAGCAAUGCCGCGUGGGUGAUGAAGGCCUUCGGGUUGUAAAGCCCUUUUGGCGGGGACGAUGAUGACGGUACCCGCAGAAGAAGCCCCGGCUAACUUCGUG